AAAACAAUUAAUUAAAAUAAACAGAAAAAAGGGAAUAAGCUGAGAUUGGGGAUUAGGGUUCGUUGUUGCGACGUUUCUCCUUCCUUCUCAUUCUCCCCCCUUUUGUUCACUCAUCCACAGCGACCGGAGAAACUCCUCCUCCUCCGCCGUGAUUCAAUUAAUCAGCCAUCAUUAACUCCUCUCUUGAUUCCUCACCUUCAUCCCCGAUCUCAUCUCAACUUAACAAAUUUCUCAAGCGUGUGCCCCUUGCGUUUCGAAUCGUUUCUGUUCAAUUAUCAUAAAGAAACAAGGAAAUAGAGAAGACGGAAUAACUUACUUACCGGAGGGAGCGUCCGGUGCUUCUUGCACGGCGGCGAUGAAGAGCAAAUCGGAGAAAAUCUCGGCGCCUCUUCAAGCUCGAAUUUGCAGAAAUUGGUGGCGCGCGUUGAAGAAGAUGUUAUUCAGAACAUGAUGAAGAUUAUCGGUGUACAAUGUUUGAUGGUGAUUGAUGGAAGCGCUGCAAAAUCGGAGAAUGCUUGCCGAUUUGAAUCACGUUCACUGCGGGAAGAACAAAGUAAUUUUUUGAAAUCGAAUCUGCUACGCGGCGAUAUUGAUGAUGAUGGUGUUGAGAGGAAGCUGAAGAAUGGAUCAGUGUUCAGUUAUAUAGAGUUUAUAGGAUAUUGGGGAUCAAAAACCAUAUGCUCUGGGUACCCAUUAUUUUCUGGUGAAACCUGAUUCCAGCUAGAUACACUUUCAGUUGUACAUGUUUCUGCCAAAGCUCCAGCAACAGACUGGGCAGUUUGCUGCAGAUAAGAGACUUCUGUUUUUUCGAUCAGAAGCAGCAGACCAAUCUACAUCCGUAUCGGCUUCCGUGUUUUGCUGACUGGUAUUGGAACUGCAUUUCAAUCGAACUCAAACUGAAACGAGCUUAGGCCAGAAUGACUUGUGAUGGCAGGAUGCUUGUUUUUGAACUGCUUGAAGAAAGGACUUGUUUUUGUAAUGAUUGGUAUAAAUUCAAAGUGAGUUUGGAAUGGUUUUUUUUGCAAGUUUGGAACUUGAAUAGCGAAGCACAUUCAGUAGGAUCUGCUGCCAUUCUUCAGCAUGUGGGGCUAGCAUAUCAUUUGAUUCACUUCUUUUAUCCAACAACACUAGGUCUUUCACAAUUGUCGCAAACCAAAUACCUGGUAUUCGAUACAUCCUCCGCUUGCAGCAGGGUGGUUUUGAAAUAGAAUGAGGUUUAGUCGUAAGAUAGGAUACGAGGCCAAAUAACCUUGUGUAAUUUUCGGUAACUUUGUGUGAAUUUUGUACAUGUAAUAAAUGAUGGACAUUGUUUGAUGUGGAUUUAUACUGGUUUAUGUGUAAUUUGUAGAGAUUAUUGAAUUUGGAUGAUAAUGUUUGUAUUGUGAUGAAUGAACUUAGUUGAAUGGCCUUGAAUAUAUAUAUAUAU